ensembl:lncRNA
UUUUUUGUUUUUGUUUUUGUUUUUUUUUACAGCUGAGAGUGCUUUUGCCUGUUGCCUGUAGAGAAAGAACCCAGGCGUUUACAGUUAUGACUACUGAUAACUGCAAACACAGCUCCGAUCAUCAUAUUGUGUUUUACAUGUAGUCAGACUGUGUUGUGACAAGGAGAAGACUAUGUGAUACUUGCAUACGCCUACUUGAACAGAUGCAAAAUGCAGAUCUUGCCUUGGUCUCCUCAGAGCACCCAGGAGAAUCCCGUUAGCUCCAGUAAUAUUGACUGACCCUAUCACUAGGUAUAAUGACAUAAAAUGAGCAGGAGGGAAGCAAAUUGAAUACUAACAGUAGUGAUUUGUAUCCUAACUGUGUGCAUGCACAUAGUCAGACCUGAAUUCUUCGGUGCAAGGUGCCAUCCAGACACUACACAGAGGAUAUACCUAGUUCUGAAAAGAAAAAUUGGGAAAUAGCCUUAAUGGUGAAGCAAUAUCAGAAAAUAUGCCUAAUGGUAAAAUUUAUUAUAUGCUGGAAAAUUAAAUUCACUAGGGAGGUUAUGGAAACCUCACAGAUUGGGUAGGGGUGUAAUUUUCUAUUAAAUUGCUAAGUGGAAAAUCCCAGAGGCAAUCAAUAUGCUACUUUUGGAAUUUUCCUAAACUUCUCUGUAAGACUUUAUGAAAGGAAACUGGGCUAGCGUACUAUUUAAAAUCCUGCAUUACAUAUUUUUGAGAGGAUGCUGAAGCAGCAAAGGUAGAUGGAUGUCAUAUGCUGUUUGCUGGAUUUUGUGGGUCCAAUUAAUCUCUGGUACAUGUGCUUAAAAUUUUUGUACAAAAAGAGUAUUUUCACUUUUUUUUUUCUCCCCUCCCCAGACAGUCUGCUGAUUCCUGUCUGCUAACUAACUUUAUUUACAGGACUUAUAUGCUGAAACUGUUACAUUUGACUCUCAUCCUUCCUGGGACAAUAGGAGAAUUUUUAUAAAGCAUAAGGCCCUCAUUUACAGUUCAGCUCACAUGAUGAGCUUUAUCCUGCAUUUGCCAAAGGAAUGUGCUACAAAAAUAUUUUCUGUUUUCCUCUGUUACUCAAUUUUGUGAAACAUUUUGGGGUAUAAUUUACGAAAAUGUGACAGCAGUGUUUUAUAAACUGCUCUCUUACUGGUUUAAGUUCUUCCUUCCCUGUGCUGAUAUUUUGCUUAAAGGACACUCGUGGCAUUUCAGUCUGGGCAAUGCAGAGUUCCAAGAAUUGGCACAUCCCCUUUUCCACUGAUAUUUCUCAUUUUCCUUUAUGUGAGUUAGAGAGAUCUAUCCUUUUCAUGCAGAAUAAAGCUGAUCCUGCAAGCUGGCCUAAUUGUGGUCGCUCAGAUAAAUAAAUCUUGCAGCUUUCAUUUCUGAAAGUAUGAGCUAGUGUGGAUACUGCAGCCCCAGUCCUGCCAUCUCAUCUGCAUAAAAGUGAAUUAGAAACUAGGACAAGGUGACUUUAGGUCAAAGUCUUGUAGUUAUCCAUACAACACUUAGGAGGAUCCGGUAGCUGGAAGCAGCUUUGUCCUACACUGCUGGUGCUUCUUAGCUGGGACUUAGAAAAAACUACGCAAACUCAAAGGCUCCCAUGUACAGGGAGCUGUGAGUCUGUCGUUGGGCAUUUUGGGGUGGGCAUCCUAAAACUGGACUGGGAUCAUCUGGCUCGUUUGUCACAGGCCACCAUUGCAUUAUUCCAGCUGGAGAAAUGUAGAGAUGAAAGUCCUCUUUAUCCCAUUAGAAUGGCUGCCUUGUGUCACCCUAGAUAGUCACUGGCUGCAUUGCUGUGGCAGCCAAGUGACUUAGGAUAAAGUGCACACUGGCUCUGGGGGGCAGACAGCUUUUAAUUUCAUCUUUUAUUUCAGUUUCUGUCUCAGUAUCAUGCUAUUAUUACAUAUUAAGAACCCAUAGGUCUUUUUGGUGAAAAUGUGAAAAAUCUGAGCAUUUUGUAUCUAUUCAUGAAUGGUUUCAAAGUGUUUCCUCAAACCAUUAACUGAGUAAUGUGUUUUUCAAAAUGCUGUUAAAUUAGCCGGCUAAAUAAGGACUUUGUCUUGCAACAUGUCUCGAGUCAGUAUGAUCAUCCCUGAUUAUUUCUUAGUUAACGUUUUAUUAUGCUUCAAGUUACUUUCAAAAUAUCCCCUCCCCAUUCUAACUGGUGGUAAUUUUUCCAACAAUUUUCUGGUGUGUAGAAACACUUUUUCAUUUCAGAUCAUGAGCUAACUGAUUAAAUAUAAUUAAUCUGAUCUAGUAAUAUUUCAGUAUUAACAGCAGCAGUGCUCUUCACAUAGGACGUCCCAGACUUUUUGUUUCUAGGUGUGCCCAGUUCAUGAUAACAUUUUAUUAUUCAGAAGUAGGAUGGUAUAGGACAAAGAUGAUUAAAGAGUCCUAGAGCUGAGGAGAAUUAAAUAAGUGUACUAAGCGGAACCACUUCAGCUUUUCAGUUGGAAAAAUGACAGUGGAGAAAGUCUCAUAAACUCAGUGAUUCGAUCUGAGGCUUAAAGUCUAAUGUCAAGGAAUUCAUGUGAGGCCAUGUGAAGUGGGAUGAGGCUGCUGACUGUCAUAUUAAUAGCACCAUGAUUACCACUCAUCUUGGAGCCUGAUGAGGUUCCGUGUGGUAUUAGAAGCAGGAGAAGGGUGAAGAGGUAAAUUGGAGACCAGGAGUUGUGCAGGUGACAGGUUAAUAGGUGAGCUAUUUUGGUUAGUUAUGUGUAAUGAAUGGCACUGAGGAUUUUAUAAACUGUAGUAGUGUUUCCAGUGGUGGUUUUGAGGUCAUAUGACAUAUGUAGGCAGUACUUAGCCCCCAAGCUGACAAUAGGCCACAUUGUGCUCUGCUGUCUCACUACAAACCUUCCCUUUCAGCAGGCUCUCAGGCUGGCAUAUGCAAGGACUGGGUCAUUAGAGAGGAAGGUGUCUGGAUGUCCUGAAGAAUUCUGAAGUCAGGAGUGCAGUUUAACUUGUUUUCUAAUCCUCCUUAAUUUUUUUGUGACCAUUUGAGUCACAGUACUUGACAUUUCAUGUCUCUGUCCUUACUCUUUUUCUUUUGGAACACAGUGUUGAAAUGCCUUUUUGUCCAUCCUGCUGCUUGUUAAUCUUUCUCAUAUAAAUUUUAAAGAAAAAAUUACAGGACAGACCAAUGUUUUCAUCUGUUUUCCAGCUCAGGGAGACCAAAACAUUCCAGAACUGUUUCAACAAUAAGGAAUAUAACUGAAUCUAUGUACAAAGUGUUCUUUGUGUGUGCAGUCACAAAGCCUCUGAAUAUUUCCAUAUCAGAAUGCAAACCUUCUAAACAUUUCCAUAUCAGAAUGCAAACCUUCUAAACAUUUCCAUAUCAGAAUGCAAACCCCCUUUUGACUAUAAGGUUGGACUUUUCCCCCGCUCUGUGAAUUUAUGUACAUCUUGGACUAAGAUUGCAAGAGGAAGGACACUGCAUUCUAAGAGUCAAUGCUUGAUGGUCAUCCACUCUGAUCCAAUACUUGUGGCAUAAUGGAUAUUAAGUAAUCCCUAAGACAAACUAGUGUUUGGAUUUUAAUUCUGGGAAUGGAGAGGAGACCAAGGUGUCUAUGCAACAGAUGUGGCUGAAGGAUAAAGAAGAAAAGGUCUCAACAAUGCUCUUUUUUAUGAAAGAGGAUAUGGAAAAGAAACUGUCCAUAUACAUGGACAUCUUCUGCUUCUCUGCAAGAUGGAGAAACCCUGGGCUGAACUAAUUUUGGCCUUACAACCCAAGUGCUUCAAGGGAGCUGAGGACAAUGUAGGGCUUGUUAUUUUGCCUAGAAAUUUGAACUUUUCUGCUAUAAAGAGUACUAGUGCUUAGAAAUUUUAGUCUGGAUGUGUCUUUGCAUCACUACCACCUCUGCCUAAGAGAUGAAAUAUAAACCAGGCUGGUGUCCUCAGAAAGGGCACGUUUGAGCUUUGGGUCAUCCCAGAGUCAAUGCCAACAAUGCCCAAGCACAGCAGUCAGCAGUCCCAGUUCUGAUGAAUUCUGCAGGCACAAAUUGCAGCAAGCUCAGUUCGGGGUCCAGCAGCCCAGUGAGUCCCCUGCUAGGGAGAGUUCCAAGAGGUUUAUGCUGCUAAUCAUUCCUCCAUUUUUGUGUCAAUUUGCUUCAGCCACAGCAGCUGAAGGCAGAUGUAAGAGUGCAGUGAUGCAAUCGCUGGAGCUACUGAUGGAAAAUGAAUGCAGCAUCAGCUGCAGGAACAAAAGCAUUUAACACCAUUAGACAGCUCCUUGAGGCUGCGGGAUGAAGCCCUGGCAGCAGCCAUGCUCCUCUAAGUCCUGACUGAGCCUGAUGUGGGGAUGUUGUGCUCUGCUCCCCAGCCCAGCCUCUCGCCAUUUCCAGCUUGCCACAGGGACUUGCUCUCCAUGUCUGGAUUCUGCUUUGAUCCUCUUCUGUUUCUCCUGCCACACAUUAGUAAAUGCACUUGCAGUAAAAUCAAUGGGAGUUUGAAAACUAAAAGUAAUGUGUGCUUUGGUAUGCUACUAAUCCACUUAUUUGGAUCCUCUUACUGCUCCUCUGGGCUGUCCUGAUCCUCUCUAUCAGCCCACCCAGCUGCUCUGAUCUGCUCUCUAAACUUCUGCCGUGGCUAUAUUAGCAUCCCUGUCAACUCACAGGGCUGCUGCCUCGACGCCAUCAAUCCCCUCUCCCAAUGAGAGUUUCUCUACUAAUAAUCCCUGUAGCUCAGAAUACUGAUGCAAACUAAAAUAAAUUCAUGAAAAGUUGCUGCAUCUCCUACUAAGAUGUUCUAUUUUCCUAAAUGUUUUCCAGCAGUACUUAUAUUUCAGACUGGUGAAAUAGCUUCAGACACAUUCAUAACCACUUGCCUGCUUUUCAGUUCUAAAAAAUAAAAUUUCAUUGCAAGGUACAAUGGAGUUUAAAAUCUACUCACACAUGCACUUUUAAAAGAGAGAUUAUGUGAAUUUUAAAUCUCUGUCAGGCUGGAGACUGACAACAUCUGAAAAAGGUGCUUCUAUUCAGCAGUAAGAUACAUACAGCAGCAGUUUCAUUAAUGUGACCCCUCCUGGAUUUACCUUCAGAGAUGUGUAGAUACUGAAGACUCCAUCACACAUUCAAUCCCUGACCUCUCUGCUGAGGCAGCCAGUGCACCUGCAUGGGCAUUUUCCCUGAGAUGGGCACAUCCUGCAGGGAUCAAACUGACAACACAGAACUAUAAUCAUUUAGUAAUAACUUUGAGAAAUUUCUUGCCUGUGUUGAAUAGAAGAUAAUGAACUCAGAAGUACAAUACUUUAUGCUUAACCAUUUAUCUUCUAUACGCAUUGAACUGGAAGAAAAAUAGAUGUUUUUAUGUGCUUUUAUACCAUCCAACAAAAUCUAUUUGGUGUUUGGGUGGUGUCUGUUAAUACAGCUGAAAUGUCUCAACCCCAAGGGACAUUAAGUGUAGAUACUGCUUUGGGGAAGGUUGAAGAAAGAGACAAUUGUAUUGAUCUAAAAUGCAGUGCAUGCAGUUUGACAACAGUCUGCAUUUGCAGGGCUUAGUCCUAGAACUGCACCUUUCCUGGAAAGACUUUGUUGUUUGGGUGUGUGUAGUGAAGACUGAUGCUGGGAGUAAGGAUGUUCAAGGCUUCACAUAAUUUGCCCGGCACUGCUGGAGUGCUAGAAAGAACAGCUACAAAAAUAACAACAACAGCAAAAAACCAAACCCAAAGCAACAGAAAAAGGAAGCGUGAUCUUUUUCCUCCAAGAUGUUUUGGAUUCUUUAAUAGCCAUAAAUGGCCACUGCUGUCAAAAAAGUGCUAUCUCCCUAGUGACAUCUUGGGACCUAUUCAUUAGGGAUUCUGAUGACACAGUGCCAUUAGCUGAGCUAUGAAUAUUGUUCCUGAAACAAUAGAAUUUUCAUCAGAUAUCUCACAUAUCAGCCAGAUUGGCAAUAAUUAGCUGUUCUUUAAUGCAAAGCUUUUUAGAAGCAGCAAUGAGUUUUUUACACCACAUCAGUUUUACAGAUAAUAAAGCUGCUGGGAUAGGUACGACUCAUGCAUUCUAUAAACUAAACAAUGCUAAUAAAUAUUCCCUUGUCAAAAUCAGAUAAUAAUUAGCACCCAAACAGUUAUUUCAAGUGUGUUUCUAAAAGCCACACUAGCCUUACUAACCAGUAACAUCCAUAUGGAUGUCACUACUUUCCUAACUAUUUUAACAGUGCAUUCCAGAGAUGUGUCCUGGCAGACAGGAGUUGUAGGGAGACAGGAGUUGCACUUACCAUGAGAACUAAUCAAGUGAUACUUCAAAAAGCAAAACAAACCAAAUUCAAAUGCUGCCCUCAUGAUACACAGCUGCUAUACACUUGGGGAGACUUAGAAAUGUUUGUUAGAAAUGUGGCAACGUUUUUUCUGCCAUUUCCUCCCCAGUGAGCUUUCUUUGUCUUUGCAGUGGGAUUUGGACACCUGUGGUGGAGCACUAGCUCAAAUUUCUUCCUCAGCUUUCCCUCUAGCUGAGUGUUUCUCUGACUGUGACCUCCUGGAGAUUGUGUGCUGUUUGGAAAGGUGAAUAAGAAAGCGAAAGCCCAGAGUGGGUUAAAUUGACUAAAUGGAGGGAAUGGGCCCACCCCCAGUGUCAGGGUUGUAGGGAAGUGCAGUCUGCAAUCCUUAGCAGCAAUACUAACAUGUCUGAUAGAACACCUGGAGGUGCCUGUAGAUGUGACAGGCUCUAUGUACCUGUAAGAAGAGUAGAUGUGGGGACAGAGAAUGGGGAAUUGGGUGGGUUAAUCCCUCCCAAAAAGUUAAGGAUUGCUUUAAUAAAAAAAGAAAAGACUGAGUGUAGAGCUCCCUUUGCCAGAAGUGGACAUACUUAGUCAUGGUGUAAAGGCAAUUUUAUCCAAUGUCUUUUUUGGUAUAGUGUUUUGAAGAUGAAUAAA